GGCUUUCUUCGCGGCGGAGCUCGACCGCCCCUCCCGGUUCUGAUCGACUACGUCCGCGUUCACAAGGACGAGUUCGGGGUCGAGCCGAUCUGUCGCGUGCUGUCCGAGCACGGGAUCAAGAUCGCCCCG
rfam:Mumia flava strain MTSC 201 Contig41, whole genome shotgun sequence.